UAACGGCUCACCAUGGCAAUGAUACGUAGCCGACCUGAGAGGGUAAUCGGCCACAUUGGGACUGAGACACGGCCCAAACUCCUACGGGAGGCAGCAGUAGGGAAUCUUCCACAAUGGACGAAAGUCUGAUGGAGCAACGCCGCGUGAGUGAAGAAGGGUUUCGGCUCGUAAAACUCUGUUGUUAAAGAAGAACAUAUCUGAGAGUAACUGUUCAGGUAUUGACGGUAUUUAACCAGAAAGCCACGGCUAACUACGUGCCAGCAGCCGCGGUAAUACGUAGGUGGCAAGCGUUGUCCGGAUUUAUUGGGCGUAAAGCGAGCGCAGGCGGUUUUUUAAGUCUGAUGUGAAAGCCUUCGGCUCAACCGAAGAAGUGCAUCGGAAACUGGGAAACUUGAGUGCAGAAGAGGACAGUGGAACUCCAUGUGUAGCGGUGAAAUGCGUAGAUAUAUGGAAGAACACCAGUGGCGAAGGCGGCUGUCUGGUCUGUAACUGACGCUGAGGCUCGAAAGUAUGGGUAGCAAACAGGAUUAGAUACCCUGGUAGUCCAUACCGUAAACGAUGAAUGCUAAGUGUUGGAGGGUUUCCGCCCUUCAGUGCUGCAGCUAACGCAUUAAGCAUUCCGCCUGGGGAGUACGGCCGCAAGGCUGAAACUCAAAGGAAUUGACGGGGGCCCGCACAAGCGGUGGAGCAUGUGGUUUAAUUCGAAGCUACGCGAAGAACCUUACCAGGUCUUGACAUACUAUGCAAAUCUAAGAGAUUAGACGUUCCCUUCGGGGACAUGGAUACAGGUGGUGCAUGGUUGUCGUCAGCUCGUGUCGUGAGAUGUUGGGUUAAGUCCCGCAACGAGCGCAACCCUUAUUAUCAGUUGCCAGCAUUAAGUUGGGCACUCUGGUGAGACUGCCGGUGACAAACCGGAGGAAGGUGGGGAUGACGUCAAAUCAUCAUGCCCCUUAUGACCUGGGCUACACACGUGCUACAAUGGAUGGUACAACGAGUUGCGAACUCGCGAGAGUAAGCUAAUCUCUUAAAGCCAUUCUCAGUUCGGAUUGUAGGCUGCAACUCGCCUACAUGAAGUCGGAAUCGCUAGUAAUCGCGGAUCAGCAUGCCGCGGUGAAUACGUUCCCGGGCCUUGUACACACCGCCCGUCACACCAUGAGAGUUUGUAACACCCAAAGUCGGUGGGGUAACCUUUUAGGAACCAGCCGCC
rnacentral:rRNA from 1 species